AAGGCAGAAGACAUAAACAGUACAAGCAGUACCUUUGCAGCACUGGUGUUGAAGUCCCUGACAGAAUUUUAGGACGUCAUGACAGAGAACCUCCAGCUCACCAUGAUGCACCACUGCAGCCAACAGCAGGAAAACGGAAGAGAGCUGACAGUAAGAAUGGAUCAGCUGCUGAGGACGAUGUGGUUGAUAUAGGAGAGCACCAGACCAUGCAAGGACCAGAGGCUGAGAGACCCAACCCAAAUCCGUCACAGGUAAGAU